rnacentral:rRNA from 1 species
CCUACGGGAGGCAGCAGUGGGGAAUAUUGGACAAUGUGGGGAACCCUGAUCCAGCGACGCCGCGUGAGUGAAGAAGUAUUUCGGUAUGUAACGCUCUAUCAGCAGGGAAGAACGAAAUGACGGUACCUGACUAAGAAGCCCCGGCUAACUCCGUGCCAGCCGCCGCGGUAAUCCGUAGGGGGCAAGCGUUAUCCGGAUUUACUUGGUGUAAAGGUAGCGUAGACGGCGAUGCAAGUCUGAAGUGAAAGGCGGGGGCCCAAACCCCUGACUGCUUUGGAACCUGUAUGGCUGGAGUGCAGGAGAGGUAAGUGGAAUUCCUAGUGUAGCGGUGAAAUGCGUAGAUAUUAGGAGGAACACCAGUGGCGAAGGCGGCUUACUGGACUGUAACUGACGUUGAGGCUCGAAAGCGUGGGGAGCAAACAGGAUUAGAUACCCCAGUAGUC